AACGCGAAGAACCUUACCAGCCUUUGACAUCCCGGUCGCGGGCACCAGAGAUGGAGCCCUUCAGUUCGGCUGGACCGGAGACAGGUGCUGCAUGGCUGUCGUCAGCUCGUGUCGUGAGAUGUUGGGUUAAGUCCCGCAACGAGCGCAACCCUCACCCUUAGUUGCUCGUCCGUAAGGAAAGCACCCUAAGGGAACUGCCUCGGAUAACGGGGAGGAAGGUGGGGAUGACGUCAAGUCCUCAUGGCCUUUAUGUCCAGGGCUACACACGUGCUACAAUGGCCGGUACAAAGCGUCGCGAACCCGCAAGGGGGAGCCAAUCGCAAAAAGCCGGUCUCAGUUCGGAUUGCAGGCUGCAACUCGCCUGCAUGAAGCUGGAAUCGCUAGUAAUCGCGUAUCAGAACGACGCGGUGAAUACGUUCCCGGGCCUUGUACACACCGCUACAGU
rnacentral:rRNA from 1 species